rnacentral:rRNA from 1 species
UACGUAGGGUGCAAGCGUUAAUCGGAAUUACUGGGCGUAAAGCGUGCGCAGGCGGUUCGCUAAGACCGAUGUGAAAUCCCCGGGCUUAACCUGGGAACUGCAUUGGUGACUGGCGGGCUAGAGUAUGGCAGAGGGGGGUAGAAUUCCACGUGUAGCAGUGAAAUGCGUAGAGAUGUGGAGGAAUACCGAUGGCGAAGGCAGCCCCCGGGGCCAAUACUGACGCUCAUGCACGAAAGCGUGGGGAGCAAACAGG